rnacentral:rRNA from 1 species
GACGAACGCUGGCGGCGUGCCUAAUACAUGCAAGUCGAACGCAGUGGGUACGGGUGAGUAACACGUGGGUAACCUCCCCAUCAGAGGUGAUAACACUUGGAAACAGGUGCUAAACCGAUACUGAUGGCUGGACCCGCGGUGCAUUAGCUAGUGGGUGAGGGAACGGCUCACCAAGGCCACGAUGCAUAGCGGAGCUGAGAGGUGGAGCGGCCAAACUGGGACUGAGACACGGCCCAGACGCGUACGGGAGGAAGCAGUAGGGAAUCGUGGGCAAGGGACGAAAGCCGGAUCCAGCCAUGCCGCGUGUGUGAAGAAGGUCUUCGGAUUGUAAAGUACUUUUGGCAGAGAAGCGGUAGCUGCAGAAGAAGCACCGGCUAACUACGUGCCAGCAGCCGCGGUAAUAC